rnacentral:rRNA from 1 species
UGCCUUAAACCUAAAAAAUUUGGCGGCCCCUAAUAAAAUAAGAGGAGCUUGCCCCGUAAACGACGAUCCACGAGAAUCUUACCUAAAUAACGAGCCCGUAUACCGCCAUCCAGAUUGCGCCUAAAGGUGCUCUCAUCUCAUAUUUUGUAUGUAAGGUUAGGUCAAGGUGCAGCUUAUUCUUAGGCCCGGGUUAUCUACAAUAGAAAAGAUUAAUUGAGACGUAGCAUGGAAAGCAGGGCGAAAGAGGAUUUUAGAGUAAUUUGUUUGAAGAGGGCAAGAGUGACAACUAAACUAGGGGUGUACAUAUCGCCCGUCGCUCGGCGGGA